UUAGUCUCAACAGAGCACUGAGUCCCAGUCUUAGACAUCAUGGAUUGGGUGUGGAACUUGCUAUUUCUGAUGGCAGUUGCCCAAACAGGUGCCCAAGCACAGAUCCAGUUGGUACAGUCUGGACCUGAGCUGAAGAAGCCUGGAGAGUCAGUGAAGAUCUCCUGCAAGGCUUCUGGGUAUACCUUCACAGACUAUGCAAUGCACUGGGUGAAACAGGCUCCAGGAAAGGGCUUGAAGUGGAUGGGCUGGAUCAACACCUAUACUGGGAAGCCAACAUAUGCUGAUGACUUCAAAGGACGGUUUGUCUUCUCUUUGGAAGCCUCUGCCAGCACUGCAAAUUUGCAGAUCAGCAACCUCAAAAAUGAGGACACGGCUACAUAUUUCUGUGCAAGA
rnacentral:lncRNA from 1 species